rnacentral:rRNA from 1 species
UACGUAGGGAGCAAGCGUUGUCCGGAAUCAUUGGGCGUAAAGCGCGCGUAGGUGGCCUCAUAAGUCCGCUGUGAAAGUCAAAGGCUCAACCUUUGAAAGCCGGUGGAUACUGUGGGGCUAGAGUACGGAAGAGGCGAGUGGAAUUCCUGGUGUAGCGGUGAAAUGCGCAGAUAUCAGGAGGAACACCAGCGGCGAAGGCGGCGCUCUGGGCCGGAACUGACGCUGAGGAGCGAAAGCGUGGGUAGCAAACAGG